AUUGAACGCUGGCGGCAGGCCUAACACAUGCAAGUCGAGCGGAACGGCGGACGGGUGAGUAAUUCCUAGGAAUCUGCCUGGUAGUGGGGGAUAACGUCGGGAAUCGGACGCUAAUACAGCAUACUAUCAGAUGAGCGUAGGUCGGAUUAGCUAGUGGGUGGGGUAAAGGCCUACCAAGGCGUCGAUCCGUAACUGGUCUGAGAGGAUGAUCAGUCACACUGGGACUGAGACACGGUCCAGACUCCUACGGGAGGCAGCAGUGGGGAAUAUUGGACAAUGGGCGAAAGCCUGAUCCAGCCAUGCCGCUUGAGUGAAGAAGGUCUUCGGAUUGUAAAGCACUUUAAGUUGGGAGGCGUUACCUACAGAAUAAGCACCGGCUAACUUCGUGCCAGCAGCCGCGGUAAUAC
rnacentral:rRNA from 1 species